AGGUAAGGCAAGCGGUUGAAUCGGAUUGGGGCGCAAGCAAGCAAACUGGUUUGGUUUUGUAGGGCUUGCACCAUUGCACCGCUCUCUCGCCGAGACAGUCCAAUUUAUGCAUUACGGCUAUGUAGGCACUUCACGAUACCAAAAGUACUCUGUGCCCCGGACCAUAAUAAUAACAGUUUUAAAUUACUUUGUAAAACAAUCGUAACAAUUGUAACGACAAGAUUAUCACCGCCAACAACAGCAACAAUAAUAAUUAUAAUCAAUAACAAUCAAUCAUUACAAUAAUAAUAAUAUUAACAAUAUCAAUGGUAAUAAACAUAAUAAUCAUCAGGAUAAUGAUAAUAACACAAUAAGUAUAAAUAUCGUUGCAAUAAUUUCACAUAACCAAGUGCCUACACUAAAUUUAACAAAAAAAAAAAAUUAAAAAAUCAUUAAAUUAAUAAAUUCUAACAAAUAACCGUUGUGAAUGAAUCAAAUUUUUUUAUGUUUAACAUAUCUAUGUGCGACCAAGAAACAAUUAAAUUACCCCUGUAAAUCCAAACCUCUCGAAUCUAACCGUCGGGUCAAAUUCGACGGUGGUAUUAAUCAGCGCGUCAAGAAAAUUGAGAAUUAUAUCUGGCAUUCGCAUUAUUAUUAAUAUUAACAUAAUAACACAAACGUAUGAGAAACCCAACGUAAAUUAUGAGCUGCUAUACGAGCUACAAUACCAGUUUUGAAAAAUUGUGAUAUAGUUCAUUGUGUUUCUGUAAUAUUAUUCACUUUGCAAAUUGUUUGUUAUCGAGAGUUUAUUUUUAUCAAAAAAGCUAUGGCAGAAGGAAAUGGGGAAAUAAAAAUGGAGGAAAAGCAAUCAAAGGAAGAGAUGGAGUAUGUUGAACGCACCGAAGACUAUGCCAAACUCGUAGAAUAUGGACUCGACGAGAAAGUUGCAGGGAAAUUGGAUGAAAUUUACAAAACUGGAAAACUUGCUCAUGCUGAUCUUGACGAAAGAGCUUUGGACGCAUUAAAAGAAUUCCCUGUGGAUGGCGCGUUGAAUGUGCUCACUCAGUUUCUUGAGUCUAAUUUAGAGCAUGUAUCUAACAAGUCUGCAUACCUCUGCGGCGUCAUGAAGACUUAUCGACAAAAGAGCCGCGCCGGACAAGGACCUGGAGCCAGCACAACCCCCAAGGCUCCAGACGAGGACAAAAUCAAGAUGAUAUUAGGAAGAACUGGAUAUUCCCUGGACGUUACGACAGGACAAAGAAAAUAUGGAGGCCCUCCUCCAGGUUGGGAGGGCCCUACACCGGGAAAUGGUUGUGAGGUUUUUUGUGGAAAAAUUCCCAAAGAUAUGUAUGAAGAUGAAUUGAUUCCAUUGUUUGAGAAGUGCGGAAUGAUUUGGGAUCUAAGGCUGAUGAUGGAUCCCAUGACCGGGUCCAACAGGGGAUAUGCAUUUAUUACAUUUACUAACAGGGAAGCUGCGCAACAGGCAGUGAGAGAGCUCGAUAAUCACGAAAUAAAACCCGGCAAGAGUCUGAAAGUAAACAUUAGUGUUCCUAAUCUACGACUUUUCGUGGGGAACAUACCAAAGUCAAAAGGCAAAGAGGAGAUCUUGGACGAAUUUGGUAAAUUAACAGCCGGCCUGACAGAGGUGAUUAUCUACAGCUCACCGGAUGACAAAAAAAAGAACAGGGGCUUCUGUUUUCUGGAGUAUGAGUCUCAUAAGUCAGCCUCCUUGGCUAAGAGAAGGCUAGGCACUGGACGCAUCAAGGUAUGGGGCUGUGACAUCAUAGUAGAUUGGGCCGAUCCACAGGAAGAACCAGAUGAGCAAACUAUGUCUAAAGUUCGCGUGCUAUAUGUAAGAAAUUUAACACAAGACUGCUCGGAAGAAAAGCUGAAAGAAUCUUUUGAAGAGUUUGGGAAAAUAGAAAGGGUGAAGAAAAUUAAGGAUUACGCUUUUAUACACUUUGAAGAUAGGGAUAAUGCUGUUAAGGCAAUGCGCGAGUUGAAUGGUAAAGAAAUGGGCGGGUCCCAUAUAGAAGUCUCACUAGCAAAACCGCCAUCCGACAAAAAGAAGAAAGAAGAAAUCCUCAGAGCUAGGGAGCGUAGAAUGAUGCAGAUGAUGCAAGUCCGUGGCGGAGGGUCUCCAUCUCAUCCAAGCAUGAUGGGUGGCCCGAUGCCGGUUCGUGGUCCUGGUGGACAAGGACCUCGGGGAGCUGGUGCUGGUAUGCGUGGAGCAAUGGGCCGUGGUGAUUAUGCUAUCAAGGAAAUAGAUUAUGAUUACGACUAUUACGGUUAUGGGGAUUAUCGAGGUGGCUACAGUGAUCCAUAUUAUGAUGACUAUUAUCGAUACGAAGAUUACUAUUUCGAUUAUGCGCCGCCUCCACCACCUGCCAGAGGGAGAGGCAGGCAGCCUCAACCGGAUUAUCCAAAAUACAGGAUCAUUAUUGGACACCCUGUCAGAACAUCAUGGUGACGUCGGCCUAACUAUUUUUCAAAAUAACUUUGCGAAAAAUCUCCUCUCCUAACUAUUAUGGUUAGUGAAUUUCUCCCAACCGAGUGGCAUUGAAAAGUGGCAUUAAUACUUGCUAUUUUUUUGUCACUCACCGUGCCUUUUCUAAUAACACGCCUUUACACCAUGAGAAGAGAUUUGUCGCAGUUGAGAAGACGAUUUUGGAGUUAAGGAUAAGACCAUUUGGACAUGGAAGAAAUUCAAGACUGAUCAGGUAAACGAAAGUUUGACGGGGGUCACCAGAACCAGGGGGAAUCUAAACGU
rnacentral:misc_RNA from 1 species